CAGCUAUACCAAAUAACCAAGGCAGGAAGGAAAAGGAGAAUUUAAUGAAAAUAUUUUUUUUCUGACAACAAAAAGUACAAAAGAGUACCUUUUUUUGGUUAACUCUCAUGCUAACUGAAACUCAAAUAAUACAUUCUAGGCUUUCUUUUAAAGACUUCAAAAUCUACUGCACUAGUCAUUUAACACUUAAAUAUUAAUAUAAAUAAAUAUAUGCUUAAAUAUAUAUAUAAAACAAUAUACAAACAAAUAAACAAAUUCUGGUUGUCCUAAAUUAAGGCAAUAUUGCCAAAGUACAGAACAGGGUGAGUGAGAAACAAGGUGAGUUGAAGCAAAGACUCAUGGAGGAGGCAAAAAAUCAGAGAAAAGAAGAACAAGAAGGAUUUUCACAAAUGGGAGAAGAGGAGAAAGACACUCUAGAAACUAGUCUGAGGAGGCAAAGAAGCAAUUUCCAGAUGGAUGAACAGAUGUAAUUGUUCAACGGUUGGCGACUCCUGGAUAAGUUUUGCAAGCUGCUGGUGAUCACUAUAUGCAAAGCAGAAGUAGAACGUGGUUAAGUUUUCUGUGUUUCAUGGUUAGAUCUAUUAUACCUUCAUUAUGGGUUACUGCUCCAGGUGUUUAAAAAAUGACUCCAUUUUUUGAAGAGAGCAAGAAUUUUUUUUUUUUUUUUUUUUGAGACAGUGUCUUGCUCUGUCGCCCAGGCUGGAGUGCAGCAGCACGAUCUCGGCUCACAGCAAGCUCCGCCUCCCAGGUUGAUGCCAUUCUCCUGCCUCAGCCCCCCGAGUAGCUGGGACUACAGGUGCCUGCCACCAUGCCCGGCCAAUUUUUUGUAUUUUUAGUACAGAUGGGUUUUCACCCUGUUAGCCAGGAUGUGAUAUGCCCACUUCGGCCUCCCAAAGUGCUGGGAUUACAGGUGUGAGCCACCGUGCCUAGCCUAGAUCAAGAAAUUUUUAAUUCAAAAUAUGAAUUUAAAAGUUCAAGAAAGGCACCGGAGGGAAAUGCAAGAGUUCUUAAUUUCAAGGUUCUUUAUAUUCUUAUUUUCCCCAAAAGAGUAUUGUGUAUGUAAAGGAAAGUCUACAGAUGAAUCUUGCUCUUCAAACACUCAUGUCUUAACUUAUCAGUUAAGUUUAGCUAAAAUGAAUGUAAUGUCAGGUGCCAGAUAAUGAUGUAGUAAACAACAGACCACAUAUAAAACAGUGGUCCCAUAAGACUUUAGUAUCAUAUUUUUACUGUACCUAGAUAUGUUUAUAUACACAAAUACUUACCAUUGUGUUACAAUUGCUUAUAGUAUUUAGUAGUAGAGUAACAUGCUGUAUAGGUUUGUAGCCUAUAAGCAAUAAGCUAUAAGCUUAGCACACUCUUAUGUUAGCACAAGGAAAAGAAAAUCGCCUAAUGAUGUAUUUCUCAGAGCACAUCUUUGUCAUUCAGUGAUGCAUGACUGUAUAUCGUAAGUUCUCAAAGAAAUAAAACUUAAAUAUAAACCUUGGUCUUCAAAACAUUUAACAGUAUUUAAAAAGAGAGAGAUUUUACCCUUAUUAGUUGUAUUUGUUAAAGUCCCAGUAACUUGGUUGGUAUAAGAAUUGUGCUCAACCAUACUUGCUGAACAAAGGAAAGUAAGAUUAAUAAAGUCAACACGUUUUAAAAAAAUGAGGUUUUAGAGCUAAACUGAAUGGAAAAAAAAAAAAAAAACUUACAAGCUCAUUUGCCCAAAUUCAUCCUGUAAAGUCUGUAAGACUUCUGAUAACUCCUCAUUAAUACCGUUGGAGGAGGGAGGUGUUACUGACAACUUCUUACUUUUACCACCUCGUGAAGAUACUUGCUUUGCCAAAGGAAUACUGUUGAUGACUCGAUCAUUGCACAAAGCUUUACUGUGUUGCUUCAUUAGAUGCAAGACAAGCUGAACAUUGGCUACCACGGCAUGGCUAGGGCUUGUGGACUAAAGGAAGAAAAAUGAUGAAAGAAGUAAUUGAAGUUAUAUUCUCUACACCACUUUCUAUUCCCCAAGCCUACGUAAAAAGAACUCUCCACCCCCCAAAGUAGAGUAUAUAAAUCCUAAAAUUAUUCUGAUCAUGAUGUUCUUCUAUUUGAAAUCCUUUUAUAUAAAUCCACUAUGUUUCAGAAUGGAAAAUAAGACCCUACAUACACGUAAUUGAGCUGCAACCUACAUUUCUUAGCCUCAUGUCCUGUCAUCCUCCACUUCUCUCCAUUUUGUGAACAAACCAUAUUUGCAGAUGACAUUUUUUUGGUGUGUUAGCAACAUUUAUAUCAUUCUUUAAAACCCAGUUCAAAUAUAUUAUUUUUAAAGGCUUCCUUAAAACUGCCAGGUAAUCAAUCAGUCCAUUCUCAGAUCGCCUAUAACACUUUUUACAUCUCUCUCAUAGCAUUUAUCAUAUUUUAAUUGCUUUUACAUAUCUAUUUCACCUAUUAAACAGUGUACAUCCAGGUGGUAGAGACUAUUGUUCAUUUCUGUAUCCUGGAAUAAUAGGAAGCACUAAAUACAUUUCUAUCACAUGUGUAAGAAAAACCUGAUAGACUUCUCAAAGAUAUUUUGUUUUUGUUUUAAACACUAAACCAACAAUCUCAAUGUACUAUUCCACUUUAUAAAUAGAUGGCUGGGCUUACUUGGCUCCAUAAAUAUUAUUAGAAAGCAUAUUUAAAAUGCAGGUUCCUAGGCAGCACACCAAACGCACUGCAGAGUUAGGGUUUGGAAAUUUGUGUUUUCAAGUCCUCCAGUUGAUUUUGAUUAGCCAGAUUUGGAACCACCAUGCUACGCUAAACAUAUGCUUUCCUUCUAAUCUUAGUUUCUAUUGUUAGCUAGCAAAGUGAAUGCAGCAGUAUUAUGUAUCACAUCCAAGUGGGAGUUUAUUACAUCAAUGCAAGGCUGGUCCACUAUUCAAAAAUCAAUCGACGUAACCACUAUUUUGCUCGUAACUUGUAAUAUAUAUUUAGUAUACUAAUUGCCUAUGACUACACUUUCAAUAUGCAAUAACUUAAAAAAUUCUCAUUCCUGUUAUUUUUCUGAUUAUAUUAAUAUGCACUUGACCCUUGAACAAUGGAGGGGUUAGGGGCACCGACCACCCAUGCAGUCAAAACUCUGCCAUAAUGAAACUAUUUUUCCUACAACUUUUAAGUUCUGGGGUACAUGCGCAGGUUUGUUAUAUAGGUAAAUGUGUGCCAUGGUGGUUUGCUGCACAGAUCAACCCAUCACCUAGGUAUUAACCCCAGCAUCCAUUAGGUACUCUUCCUGAUGCUCUCCCUCCCCAUUGACCAACUCCCCCACCAAACAGGCUCCAGUGUAUGUUGUUCCCCACUACGUGUCCAUGUGUUCUGAUCAUUCAGCUCCCACUUAUGUAACUGAGAACUAUAAUAAAUUUUGCCCUAAAAUGUAGCUAACAGCCUGCUAUUGACUGGAAGCAUUUAUAUUAUGUUUUAUGUAUUAUAAACAAUAUUCUAAAAGUAGAAGAAAAUAUUAAGAAAAUCCUAAGGAAGAGAAAGUAUAUUUACUAUUCAUUAACUGGAUCACCAUACAGGCCUUCAUCCCCAUUAUCUUCACUGUUGAGCAGGCAGAAGGGUAGGGUUGGUCUUGCUGUCUCAGGAGUGGCAGAGGCAGAAGAGAUGGAGGGGGAGGCAGGAGAGGCUAGCACAUUCUGUGUAACUUUACAGAAAUACACUAUAAUUUGUCUUGACUUUUCUGCUUUUUCAUUUCUCUAAAAAUGUUUCUAUGAGAUACCAAUUCUUCUUCCACCAUUUGCUUUAGUUUCAGUGAUGUAUCACAGAAGGGUCGAUGUCGUAAAAGUCAAAAGCAGGCUGGGCGCAGUGGCUCAUGCCUGUAAUCCCAGCACUUUGGGAGGCUGAGGCGGGUGGAUCACCUAAGGUCAGGAUUUCGAGACCAGCCUGGCCAACAUGGAGAAACCCUGUCUCUACUAAAAAAAUACAAAAAUUAGCCAGGCAUGGUGGCGCGUGCCUGUUGUCCCAGGUACUUGGGAGGCUGAGGUGGGAGAACUGCUUGAACCCAGGAGGCAGAGGUUGCAGUGAGCCGAGAUCGUGCCAUUGCACUCCAGCCUGAGUGACAGAGCGAGACUCUGUCUCAAAAAAAAAAAAAAAAAGUCAAAAGCAGUCUUGAAUAAUUAGAACCCUUCUGCCAGAUUAUCUAAUGUCAACUUGUUUUCUGACAUUACUUCUGUGUUGUCUUCUUCAUCUUGUGGCACUGGUUUGAAAGCACUCGUAUCCAUCCCAGUCAUCUUCUGUUAAUUCCUCUAUCAUGGUGUCUACUGACUCUUUAAUUUCUCCAAGAUUCAUAUCUUGAAAUCCUUCACCUCCAACCUUUUUUGCCAUAUCUACAAUCUCUUUCAUGAUUGGCUUUGUCAUAAAUCCUGUGAAAUCAUGCACAUCACCUGGAGAGUUUUCUCCAACAGGAAUUUAUUAUUUCAGGCUUGAUGGCUUUCAUGACUUUUUCUAUAAAAAUGAUGGCAUCAUCUUCAACUGUAAUCCUUCCAGACUCUCAUAAUGUUCUCUCUGAAGUUCUCUUCCACAGCAUUAAGAACCCUUUUUAUAGUGUAUGUAAUGUGCCUUAGAGGUCCUUAUGCUCCCUCAUCUAGAGGCUGAAUUAGACACAUUGUGUUUAGGGCCAAGUAGACUACUUCCAUGCCUUUGGUGUUGAACUUCCAUGCUCCUGGGUAGCUAGGGGCAAUGCCUAGUAUUAAAAAGACUUUAAAAGGCAGUCUCUUACUGGCAAAUUACUUCCUGACUUCAGGGACAAAGCAUUGAUGGAUCAAUGCUUUUUCUAAAUCCAGUUUAGAAAAAGGGUUCUCAAAGGGGCAUUCUUGUUGUAAACCCAAAGACUGGCAGUUGGGUGUAUUUCCCCUUGAAGGCUCAGGGAUUAGCAGCUUUAUAGAUAAGGGCAGUCCUGAUUGUAAAUCUGAUUGUGUUUUCACAAAAUAGUAGAUUUAGCCUAUCUCCUCUUUCCUUAAAUCCUGGUGCUGACUUCUCCUCCUUACUUAUAAAUAUCCUUCGUGGCAUCAUGUUUUUCCAGAAUAGGGUUACUUUUGUCUGCAUUAAAAGCCUGUUCAGGAAGAUACCCUUUCUCCUCAAUGAUUUUCUUAAUGGUAUCUUGGGACUCAUCUGCUGCCUCUUGGUCAGCAGAAGCUGCUUCCCCUAUCUUGACAUUUUAAAAUCCAAACCUCUAAAAUUAUCAAGCCAUCCUUUGCUGGAAUUAAAUUCUCCAGCUUUAGAUACCUCACCUUCCUUUUAAGUUGUCAUACAAUGACUUUCCUUUUUCUCAAAUCGUAUUAGAGUCUAUAAGUAUGCCUUUCUUAUAGUAAUCCUGCAUCCACAUAAAAGCUGCAUUUUCAAUGAGAUAAAAAGCUAUUUUGCAAAAAGCACAAGGUUAUGGUACCUGCUAGAGUAGCUGCAGUGGUAGAUUCACAAAUUUCCUUUUUUUUUUUAAUUUUAAGAGGAUCUUACUCUGUUGCCUAUGCUGCAGUAUAGUGGUGCCAUCAUUGCUUACUACAGUCUCAAACUCCUGGGCUAAAGUGAUCCUCCUUUGUCAGCCUCCUGAGUAGCUGGGACUACAGGUGCAUCCCAACAUGCUGGGCUCAUUUUUUUUUUUUUUUUUACAACAAGCCUUCAGCUGGAUUCAUUUAUUUUGAAAUGGUGGACAACCGCAGCUGCGGACCUCAAUCUAUGGUACAUAUCAAGCAAUGCAACUUUUUCUUGUCAUGUCAUGACUUUUGUCUGCUUCUUAGGAGCACUUCCACCAUCAUUAGUAGCACUUGAUAUGGGUCCUAUGAUAUUAUUCAAAUUAUUUACUGUAUUGUGCAAAACAUGAUGGAAAAUAUGGAACUGCUAGAGAACACUUUUUACUGUGAUACACAAUUUACUGGAGAGAUGAACUGCUCAUUUGAAGAUGAUUAGCGUCACGUGGCAUUUUAAGUGACUACUCCCAACCCUUGAGCUCAUCACAAUGGCAACAGAAGGUGGCUACAAAAUUAUCAGUCGUACAGUAUGUACUACAGUUAAUUUUAUACAGUUAUGAUUUAAUACUGCAUCUUUAUCUCUGUUUACAUUUCUCUGGACUGUGAAUGGCGUCCCAUAGUCUGUGUGCAAAUCGUUUUGAUAAAUUAUAAUUAAAAAAACAGAUUUGUGCCUAUUUUAUGAUAGUAAAUGAUAAAAUGCACUAGUA